UAUUAAAAUUUUCAUCUAUUUCUAUUGUUAAAAAAUGGUAUAGUUGAUAGAAUAACCGAAUAGUUGCACGUGGUGUGCCACAUGUACCUAAUGUUGAUAUACAAUGACCAGAUUUUGAUAGCAGAAAUGAAUGAAAUUUUUAACA
rfam:Gossypium hirsutum cultivar TM-1 unplaced genomic scaffold scaffold120.1, whole genome shotgun sequence